rnacentral:lncRNA from 1 species
CAAUAAUUCUCUUAUUUUGGCAAUUUCCGUACUAUUUCAGUAUUUUUUUUGUUAGCAAACAGGCUCCAAUAAUUGGGCAGAGCUCAGGCGCGAGGAGGUGAAAAACUGAGGAAUAAAAAUGGUGAAGGGAAGUAAAUUGCUACUGAAAGGCUCCGGAAUCGGAAUAAACAGCACUCUUGCUGAAAUAUUAGUAUGUCCACUCUCCAAACAACCCCUUAGGCUGUGUAAGAAAAUAAAUGCCCUAAUUAGCGAUUCGAUUGGAGUUUCAUAUCCGAUUGUUAAUGGAAUUCCUCGUCUUGUGCCGAUGGAUGGAAAAUUGAUUGAUUCCGAUGAAAGAUCCAAUUCCGAAGAACCAGCGGAUUCACCCAAUUCAAAAACUGAAAGGUAGGCAUCGAACAUGAGUCAAUCUUUGGUACGAGGGAAUGGGAACCGAAAUUCCCAAUUUGAUUAUCAAUUCCAUGUUUGUUGUUAUGUUUUAUCUUGUUGAUUACUGGAUGUUUAAUGAUUAUCCAGAUUUAUGUUCUAUGAAUUGCCUAUUUCCUCUUGGUUGCUUAGUUUUAUCACUUAUGAAAAAUCUCGCUUUAGGCAAUUGUUGACAGUGUUAAGGGCAAAAUCGUUAAAAGCUCGAACAAACUAUUGGACGAGCUACCAGAUUGUGAGAAUAUGUUAAAAAUAAAUCUAACAUAGCUUAAUCAACCUGAAUAGAAUACAGAAACUAGUGGGGAUGAUUAGCAUGGAAAAUAGUGGAUGUGUAAAAGGACAAUAAAAUGUCAGUUAGGGAAUUGCAAUCAUUUUGGUAGCUGAGAUGAGAAUUGUAGUUGGUUUUUAUUAAUAAUGAGCGCUAUUAUUUAAGCCAAAAUCUUGCAGGUAAGUGUCGGUUAGCAGUUAUUUAAUGUUCGUUUUCUAUUGGAUUAUAGAAUUGGCAUCUAAGUUUUCGUUUUCAAAUAGGUGGAAUUUUGGCAGGACAACUGGAAUAUAUGCUUAAGAUCUCUAAAGAACAAUAAAUCUAGAUAUAAGACAUCAAGAAAAUUCUUUAGACUUGUAUUCCCCUCCAGAAUAUGCCCACAAGUUCUUAUUUUUCUUUCCAUUUAGAAUAAUUUCAGGCUUGAGAGUGCCGCCCAAUCCAACACGACCAGAGCUGUCGAGUGUCGAACUACAAGUCUUUGUGCCCAUUAUAAGAAUAAAACUAGCUAACAAUAGCUCGUUUGUUGACGCCAACUGCCAGUAGUCUGUUCAUAUGACUUGUUCACCACUCAGAGAUCCAUAUCAACCCUUGACUUUUCCCCUUUUCACAGCCCGUAAAGAGAACAGAACUCUUGCGUCAUUAGCUGCUUCACUGCAUUUCCUGCCUAAGUUGAUGAUACUAGAAAUUCAGGGUCUCUUCAUCUGAAUCAAGUUUGAGAAGAAGAAAUUUUCCUCACUUAUUAUAAAACUCUAGUAUUCGUCUGUAUAGAGUUAUUUAUGGCAGAACGGGUCACUUAUAUUAGUAGAAAUACAAAUAACACGUCCUAUAUCGUGUAAAUACCUUCUAAGGUUUCAACAAGUUACUGCUACAUACGUUUAGUGAGAAAACACUGUUCGUUUUGAUAGACAACCUCAAAUCCGUAUCACUAGGG